rnacentral:rRNA from 1 species
UACAGAGGGUGCGAGCGUUAAUCGGAAUUACUGGGCGUAAAGCGCGCGUAGGCGGCUUUGCAAGUCGGGUGUGAAAUCCCCGGGCUUAACCUGGGAACUGCAUUCGAGACUGCAUUGCUAGAGUAUGGGAGAGGGAAGUGGAAUUUCCGGUGUAGCGGUGAAAUGCGUAGAUAUCGGAAGGAACAUCAGUGGCGAAAGCGACUUCCUGGACCAAUACUGACGCUCAUGUGCGAAAGCGUGGGGAGCAAACAGGAUUAGAAACCCUUGUAGUCC